CUAGCAAGACGCUCUAAAGAGGCCUCAAACGGACCUCAAAUCGAUAUUACAGACAGACGGAAUAAUAAUUUUCCUUAUUUAGGAGAUUUUUGAAUGAAAAAGCACCGCCAACCUGUGAUGCGAAGACGAUAAUGGCGACAGACAUGACCAGCGUCACCCCCAUGGUGAUGACCACCGCGGUGGUGUUGUGGAAGGAGGCGACAGUCCCCACCAUUUUGCUUUGAGAGAAAUAUGCCCACCAGCCCCACGAGGUUCCAGGGGUGACGCCGGCUGAAGGACCUGCAGCAGCUGAGGGUGAAGGCCACCACGAUGAAGACGAUGAAGGAGCUGAGGUAGGCCCACAAGUUUUCCUGCACGGCCUCUUUCACCACGCUGGAGAAGGUGAACACGCAGACAAUGCUAAAGGUGAACAGCAGCUGGAGCGUCAGGAUGCUAAACACCUGCAGGAGAAAAUCUGUGCCAGAAGAACCAAGAAUUAGGCAGAUUUCUUCUUGCAUCCUUAAUUUUAUCAGUAUCAUAGUAAAAGUUCAACAUUUUACUGCGUUUGUGUUGCAGCUUCAAUUUGCCUGGAAUAGUUAUGCAACUUUUAAUUGAUUCAAUUUUAUCUUUAAAGAAAGAGGAAGGAGUUUUUCUUUCACUAAUGAUUUGAAAAGUUAACAGCCGUUCAUUUCUUCUGCGCAGCAAAAACACAAAAUCUUACCUAGUAUUUUUGGUCUAGUUUCUAGUCCA